rnacentral:rRNA from 1 species
UACGAAGGGGGGCUAGCGUUGCUCGGAAUCACUGGGCGUAAAGGGUGCGUAGGCGGGUUUUUUAAGUCAGGGGUGAAAUCCUGGAGGCUCAAACCCUCAGAACUGCCUUUGAUACUGAGGGGUCUCGAGACCGGUAGAGGGUAAGUGGAACUGCGAGUGUAGAGGGUGAAAUUCGUAGAUAUUCGCAAAGAACACCAGUGGCGAAGGCGGACUUGACUGGACCG